rnacentral:rRNA from 1 species
AAACCGUUAGGAGGGAAGCGAAUGCAGCUGAAGUGGUUCUCCUCCAGGCUCAGGAAGUGUCUCCUCGGUCUGCUGGCGUGCGGAAGCCGUGAGGCGCCGCGCGUCGGACGGCCGGGAGACUAAUCUGCACUCCUGGGGAGAGCCGGCCAGCGACAGUUGUUUCCGGCUCACAAGGGCGGCCGGGUAGGUAGCUCCUCCUCCCGGAGGGGAACUAAUUGCCGGCCGUCUGGCAGACUGGGAGCGACUGAGGAGAGUUGUGAACUUUCACACGUGCAGCGCAGGCCCUUUCGGGCCGGGUCACCUCUAUCCGCUUGGGCACCGCUCCGGGGACUGCUCCGCAGUGUCCGCUGACGAAUGUCUGCUCGGUUGGGGGAGUGUCCACUCCUUGCGCUGUAGUCGU